AGUUUCUUGUAUUUUAAUUAGAAAUAUUUUCUGCUCAAUGAUUUUAAAUAGCCGCGGUAGUCUGACUGUGCGAAGGUAGCAUAAUCAUUUGCCUUUUAAUUUGUGGCUGGAAUGAAUGGGAGUACAUAGAACUUACUUUCUUCUAUUUUAUUUUAGAAUUUGUUUUUCAUGUGAAGAAACAUGAAUAUAAUAAAGGGACAAGAAGACCCUUUUGAGCUUUAUUUCAAUUAACUUUAUUAAAGUUUUGAUUGAAAUUUGGUUGGGGCGAUCAAGGAAGAAUUAAUCUUCUUUAAUAAUUAUAUUUUUGAUCCUAAGUUUUUGAUUUAAAGAUUAAGUUACCAAAGGGAUAACAGCGUAAUUUUUUUUAUGAGUUCUUAUUUAAAAAGAAGAUUGCGACCUCGAUGUUGACUUUUAAAUAUCAUUUUGGUGUAGCAGCUUUUAGUGAGGGUCUGUUCGACCUUUAAUUUUAA
rnacentral:rRNA from 1 species